rnacentral:pre_miRNA from 1 species
ACCUUGUCGGGUAGCUUAUCAGACUGAUGUUGACUGUUGAAUCUCAUGGCAACACCAGUCGAUGGGCUGUCUGACAUUUUG